GGGGCUGUCUGGAUUUGACAGCGUGGAUAGUGAAAUGUAAGCAUGCCGAGUGUUGUAGAUGUGACUCGUUAAUCUCUAUUUGCAAGCCUUCAAAUGGCGAAAACAACAAUUACGCUUUCGCUGCUUAGUUUAGAAUUAGGUAGUUAGCCAGUUCGAUUAGUGGUUUCUCAAUCUGCUAAUUAUGUGAACUGUCAUAAUAUUGAGAUAGUUAGAGUAAAGCUUCGGUACUUUGGCGAAAUUAAGGAGAUAAGGAAUAAAUCGGCCAGUCUUUGAGCCUGCUUAUUUUCGAAAAUUAAUCAUGGACUAAGCAUGAAGAAAGCAUUUUAAUAGCAUGUUUGGACGAGGGUUCGAAUCCCUCCAGCUCCACAA
rnacentral:tmRNA from 2 species